rnacentral:rRNA from 1 species
UAGGGAAUCUUCGGCAAUGGGGGGAACCCUGACCGAGCAACGCCGCGUGAGUGAAGAAGGUUUUCGGAUCGUAAAGCUCUGUUGUUAAGGAAGAACGAGUGUGAGAAUGGAAAGUUCAUGCUGUGACGGUACUUAACCAGAAAGGGACGGCUAACUACGUGCCAGCAGCCGCGGUAAUACGUAGGUGGCAAGCGUUGUCCGGAUUUAUUGGGCGUAAAGCGAGCGCAGGCGGUCAAUUAAGUCUGAUGUGAAAGCCCCCGGCUCAACCGGGGAGGGUCAUUGGAAACUGGUUGACUUGAGUGCAGAAGAGGAAAGUGGAAUUCCAUGUGUAGCGGUGAAAUGCGCAGAGAUAUGGAGGAACACCAGUGGCGAAGGCGACUUUCUGGUCUGUAACUGACGCUGAUGUGCGAAAGCGUGGGGAUCAAACAGG